CAGAUUGGAGCUUGAUUUGAAGUAUUUUAUUUACAUUAAAAAGAUAAUUUUAUAAAUUUAAUCUGA
rnacentral:tRNA from 1 species